GAAAUUGAAAUCGCUGUGAAGAUGCAGUGUACCCGCGGCUAGACGGAAAGACCCCGUGAACCUUUACUACAGCUUGGCACUGAACAUUGACCCUACAUGUGUAGGAUAGGUGGGAGGCUUUGAAGCAGGUACGCCAGUAUCUGUGGAGCCGUCCUUGAAAUACCACCCUUGUAGUGUUGAUGUUCUAACGUCGACCCCUAAUCGGGGUUGCGGACAGUGCCUGGUGGGUAGUUUGACUGGGGCGGUCUCCUCCCAAAGAGUAACGGAGGAGCACGAAGGUGGGCUAAUCACGGUUGGACAUCGUGAGGUUAGUGCAAUGGCAUAAGC
rnacentral:rRNA from 1 species